AUUUAUGUUAUCUACAUAUAUCCAUGGGAGGGGGGAUUAUGAGUUAAAGUUGUAACCUGGGGGUGGGGAAAGGCAGUCAUUUCUCUCUUGCAAGGCUAGAAAGCAGAACAAUAUUCUCCCUUCCUGAAAAUUAAAGAGAAGAACAAUAUCUUUCCUAUAGAACAACAGUGAAUGGGACAGGACUUCAUAAAAAUAUCUAGAUUCCUUCUUGUGAGGAAAAACACCAGUAUCAAGGAGCAAGUACCUAGCAAACCAGCUAUUUACUGCAAAUGUCCCAUUUCUUUGCUCUCAAAGGAUGCUGACUGCAGAAUUUGUUAGAAGAUGGCUGCCAACCAGGCAGUGGAAGAAGUGCCUCUUACUCUCCUGGCUUCACACAGCCCCAAAAGUGAGAACUUUCUGACUAGUGGAGACCAUGGCCCCCAUGGUGUCAGAAUGCCAUUGCGACACAGAGAACAAUGGCACCUAACAGCUGCUCCCUGACAGGGUUACCAUUCAACCAGCCAAGGGCAUCCCUGCUUCAGCACGGAAUGCAUCUGCUCCAGAGCUGAGUACCUUGCCAAAAAGCAAAGACUCCCCCUCAGGAAUCUUGGACCCUGAAGGUAUGUGAGAGAGUCUGGGGAAUGGAAGGCUUCCCUUUGGUGAGGGAGGAGAUGCUCUGAGAGUGUCUGGGCAUCAUCAGUCUAAAUAAAUUCAUGGGCCCCAAUGGCACACAUCCAUGUAUGUUGAGGGAGCUGGCAGAGGUGGCUGCUGAACUGCUCUCUAUGAUCUUUGAGAGGUCUUGGAGAAUGGGAGAGAUGCCUGGAGGAUAGCUGAUGUCACUCUGGUCCUCAGAAAGGGCAAGAAGGAGGAUCCAGGGAACUACAGGCCAGUCAGCUUCACCUCUGUUCCUGGGAAGGAUAUGGAACAGCUUGUUCUGGAUGCCAUUUCCAGGCAAUUGAAAGAGAAGAAAGUUAUCAGGAGUAGUCAGCACAGGUUCACCAGGGGAAAGUCAUGCUCAACCAACCUGGUAACCUUCUAUGAUGUCAUCACUGGCUGGGUGGAUGGGGGGAGAGCAGUGCAUGUCAUCUACCUUGAUUUCAGUGAGGCAUUUGAUACUGUCUCCCACAGCAUCCUUAUAACAAAGCUGUGGAAGUGUGGGAUAGAUGAGUGGACGGUGAGGUGGGUUGAGAACUGGAUGACUGGAAGAGCUCAGAGGGUUGUGAUUGGCAACGCAGAGUCCAGUUGGAGGCCUGUAUCUAGCAGUGUUCCCCAGGGGUUGGUACUGGGUCCAGUCUUGUUCAACAUCUUCAUCAAUUACCUUGAUGAGGUGAUAAUGUCCACCCUCAGCAAGUUUGCUAAUGAUAUGAAGCUGGAGGGAACAGCUGACAUGCUAAGAAGGCUGUGCUGCCAUUCAGCAAGACCUGGACAGGCUGGAGAGUUGGGCAGAGAGGAACUAGAUGAGGUUUAACAAAAGCAAGUGUAGAGUCUUGCACCCAGGGAGGAAUAACCACAUGCACCAGUACAAGAGAACAACCUGCUGGAGAGGAUCUUUGCAGAGAGGGAUCUGGGUGUCCUGGUGGACAACGCGUUUGCCAUGAGCCAGCAGUGUGCCCUGGUGGCCAAGAAGGCCAAUGGCAUCCUGGGGUGCAUUAAAAAGAUCUUGGCCAGCAGGCCAAGGGAGGUGAUCUUCCCCUUCUAUUCUGCCCUGGUGAGGCCUCACCUGGAGUACUGUGUCUAGUUCAGGGCUCCCUAGUACAAAAAAGACAGAGGUCUCCUGGAGAGAGUUAGUGGUGGGCUGCAAAGGUGAUAAAGGGCCAGGAGCACCUCUCUUGUGAGGAAAUGCUGAGUGACCUGGGUCUAUUCAGCCUUGAGAAAAGAAGACUGAGGGGGGAUCUUAUUAACGUCUAUAGAUAUGUAAGGUGUGGGAGGCAAAAGGAUAAGGCCAGACUCUUUUCAGUGGUGCAUAGCAAUAGGACAAGGGGAAAUGGCGACAAACUGAAACAUGGGAAGUUCCACACAAAUGUGCAUAAGAACUUCAUGAUAAGGGUGACAGAGCACUGGAAUAGGCUGCCCAGAGAGAUUGUGGAGUCUUCUUCUUUGGAGACAUUCAAGACCCACCUGGAUGCCUACCUGCACAACCUGGUCUAGAGGCUGGACUAGAUGAUUUCUAGAGGUCCCUUCCAGCCCUUACAAUUCUGUGAUUCUGUGAUAAAUAGCAGAAAUAUUAGGCUAACUCACUAGCCAGCUCUACUCCUACAGAAGAACUUUUCUCUCAGUGUAGGAUUCCAUUCAUUAAUUUCCCCAGUAAAUGUUCAUUUCGAACUAAGGAUGACUGAAGCAUUUGUGCUGCAGUACUGUCAAUAUAUGGAUUGUGUACAGCUCUCUGUCUUCCCAUCUCUUUCCCUGCCCACAGCUCUUAUCUACCUCCUUCUACUCCUUGUUGUUUUCUCUAUCCUUAGUCUGAAAAAUUAUUGGCUUUAGCUCAAGACAGAGUAAUAGGAAAAUCUAACUUCAUCAUUUGAAUCUUAAUAGAUUGGUAUGAUCGCUAAUAAUGGUUGUAAAAUGAUACGUUUCAGUACGCGGCGAUGGCAGCCUUAACAAGUAUGCUUGCUUCUUUCUAGCACUUACAACAAUGAGAAUGAAGCCAAAUUACCCUUAGUUAGGAUUUGCUAGGCUGUCUAAAGCUGGUAGAGAUGCUUGACUCUGCUUGAGUCAGACUGUCCAUAUGCCUAUCAACAAUGGGAGAUGGCAGCCAUCUGAAAGACAGAAAUUUCUUUCUAACUUUUCUGAAUAUUUUAUGUGCUAGCCUUGCAGGAUAAAAUGAUUUAUGAAUAUAGAAGGAUCACCACUCCUAAAGAAAUCUUCAAAUAUAGUAUAUGCAUGAUAUUCCAGUGACUUUUAAUUCUGUGGAGAAUUUGAAGAGUCUGUGUUAUCAAGAUCCCUCAGGACAACAAAAAAGAUUUGAUAUGACUUUCCUUAAAGGGAAUUUUAAAAGGGUUCUUUAACUCUAAUUAGUGAAUCUACUUGGGAAUUCUCAGAAAUAGUAUUCUGUACUCAAAAAGAAAGAAUACCUAAUGGUUUUUCAUACAAAACAAAGUUGAUUUCCUCCUUUAAUUGCACAAUUCAGACUUAACUAAAGGACCAGAUUUGAUGAUUCCGUAUUAACAUGCGAUGAGUUCUCUCAGCACAUCUGAUCUUUAACCUUUUAUGAAUCGGACAUCACAUUUACCUGUAAGAUGUUUACAAUACAAAUUCAUACUUUUAUUUAUUUAUGGUCACUAUGUUUGUGAGGUUAUAUAAACCUAUUAUAUUUUCAUUUAAUAUUUCAUUUAUGUUUGGUAAUUAAAUACUCAUACUGUUAAUUGCUAGAACUGUUUUUUGUUUUCUUUUUUUCUGAAGCUGAGAUUAGUGGCUGUUUUGCUCCAGUGUUAUGUCAGAAAUCCUAUUUUCUAUGUCUUUUUGAGAGGUAUAUAUUCUGGUUAAGAUUCUUGCUGUGUUAUUAUAUUAAAUAAAGAUCAUCACCGUGUAAAUGAUAACACUGUACUGUUCUGCAGUCUCUUAAACUAUUGUAAAAGCAAAAAUCAGCUUGAUGUAGAGAUAGUGAAAUAAUAUACAGCACUGAAUUCCUCAAUGUAUAAACAAAUGAACAGAAUACAAUUCUGUUACAUAUUGCAUAACUUUCAUAAGUAGAAAUUGAUUUUAUCACUUGCCCAAGUAAUCUCUAUAUAUCCAGUCUUGGUCUUUCAUGAAGUAUGCUGCAUAUGCAAUAAAUAUGAAGAGUACAAGUGUGUCUUGCUGGCUUCAAAGAAAGGAAAAACAAGGUAAAAAGAAGGUAAAGGAGGAAGCAAUUAUCAAUACAAACAGAAACUUCUGCCAUCCCAGAAAAAAAGAAAAAAAGGAUCUAUAUUCUUUGGAACAUGAGACCAUAUAAAAUGAUUCAUACAUUUUAAUCAGAAGGAGAGACUUCAUUCUACAUGCUUAACAUAUAUUGGCAAGUUAUGCAAGUAUAAUGUUCUGCCUUUAAUUUAGCCUCAAACACUGCAAUGUGAAUCAGACUAAACUACAUUUAAUCAGAUUUCUGAUGAAUUAUGAAUGGACCUACGAAGAGACUGGGACAUUAAGCAACAGAUGACACAUAACUGCCCCAGAUGCUUCACCUAGGGUAAAAUCAAGUAACUGUAUUACAACUUCCUAAAAGCUGGAAGACUUAACAACCUAGAUUUGUUGAUACUUUAGGAGAAGAGGAUACUCCAGGGCAGAAGACCUCAUUGUUAAGACAGAAAUUACAGACUUGUAGAAAAGACAUCAAAAAUACAUUUUUCAUCUUUGGCAGAUAAAACAUAAUCAUAAUCGGAAUAACUAGAUUCCAAAUAAAUUACUCAAUGUGUAUUUUAUGCAAAACUAAAACAGGUCCAGUACAGGAUUUUGUAGUUUUCCCUGUGAUUAUCAAAAAUUCACCAAAGUGUAAGUCUUUAAAACUCUCACUUCUGUCUUCUGCUUUCUGUUUCAGUUUUGCAUACUCCACACUAUCCAUCCAGCUAAUUUUGUUAUUUAACUGCCUGCAUUCCAAAUGAAGGAAAUAAGAGGAGCAGGUAAAUGCCUAAUUUAGAGGUUCACUCUCUGAGGAAAUAAUGGACAGCACUGAAUUAGACUUUAUUUCCAUAUAAAACCAUGAAAAAUGGCAUCCAUUCUUAGCCAAGAAUUUGAAGACAAGACAGGAAAGCAGCACAGGGAUCCUGCUAAGCACUAUUAAAAGAUUAGUCAAAUACUUCUGUCAGUGAAAUCAUAUGCUUUUCACUAUCAACGUGUAGGCAGCAUUGUGGAUUUUCAAAGUCACAGGUAAAAUGAUUGACUGACACAGAAAAUUCUGACCUACCACUGUUGCGAAGAAUGACUGCCGUGUGGAGAAAGUGAUCUCACUGUCCCCCUGUCAGAGCAUUAUUUCAUCAAAGUACAGUGCAAGCAGUUCAGAAGUUAAGCUGUAUUUCUGUCAUUUCUCUCACAGCUCACAAAGGACUAUUAGCUUUCUGUAGCAAGUAGCUGCUGGCAACAUUGCCACUGCGUCCAGUUUCUCAAUCAACUUUGCUGGAGGGAAGACAGCCCUACACAAGACUUAAGUACACAAAGUAAGGCAAAAUUUUGUUAUAGUCCUAUAUGUAAAAUUCCAAGUCUUACAUACCAUAUAUACAGAUACUACAGAACUUCCUGAAUUCAAGGUUGUGAAGACAGAAAAGCUCCAGCAAUUGACUGGAGAGGAGCUCUUGCUAUCACUUUUUGAAUACCAUUUGCCAGUAGUGGUCAUUUGCUCUGGAGGAUGAACUUACUGGAGACUUCUCUUCUGUACUGUAUCACUGCUAUUGUCCUGGUUCCCACAGAAUAUUCCAAAAGCAGCCCAUCCUCCCACCCACUCUCCCUGUGUGUCAUCACUGGUAGACUGCAGUGACUAGGAGAAGAGGUAACUGUUUUAAGUUGUGCCAGGAGAGGUUCAGGUUGGAUAUUUAGAAAAUUUUCUUAUCAGAAAGAGUGGUAAUGCCUUAAAACUGGCUGCCCAGUGAAGAGGUAGGAUCACACCCUGUGGAGGUGUUCAAGGAGUGUGUUGAUAUGGCACUGACAGACAUAGGUUAGUGAGUUGGGUCUGAUGAUGACCUUAGUGGUCUUUUCCAACCUAAAUAAUUCUAUGAUUCUAUGACUUAUUUUCUUUCCUACACAGAUAUCUGUAACAAUAUGGUCCUUGUUCCAAACGCCCAUCCAUGUGAUGUUUGGAACAGCUUUCACAGUUUCUCUCAGCAUGGUCAAAGCCUACACUUACCAUUCUGAUGCUCACCACAGCUCCCCCUAUCCAUGCAGUCUUACCAUGCAGCAGGUGGGGGCAACUUUCCAUUUUGGUGGCAUCUUAGUCAGUAGGGGCGGCUGAUGACUCUCAACUCAUUGCAGUGCUGAAGUCGAGAGUAACAAAUAACCUCUAGUGAGGAGCUAUGUUGCCAGCCAGGCAGCAGCCCAUAAAGUUGUCAGUGCUUCCUACUCUGUGUCAGGAGCCCUGCUUGGUGCAGGAAUAGCAGCAGCAGCACUAGCACACCUCAAACCCUCCCGCUUUAGCAAGAAAAUCAACAACCUGCUCUACUGAACUCUGAGGACGUUUUAUCAGAAACAUUCUCCAACGUUGCCUGCUGGAGUCAAUGUUUUAGAGCGCUGUGAUCUUUUAGUUACCAAAAGGAAUUGUCCCUGUUAUAACUGGAGUAUUCAGCUGGAAAUUGUAUCAGAAGAAGAAAAACACUCAAAAAUCAGACAUAUAAAGGCUCAGUAAAAUAUUCUAUGAAUUUCUACAUCAUACAUACAAACAACAUGUGUUCAAAUCAUCAGAGGUCAGAACUGGGCUGCAGGCUCUUGCCCCAGGGUAAUGCUGAACUAGAUAGCUUAUUCUGCCCUGCCUGAGUUUUUGUCCUUUCUAUAAACAACAAAGUGCUCUAGGGAGUCAUUCAGAUGCCAGUAAGUGCUGGGACUUCCUAAGGCAAGCAAGCAUAACUUUGUGCUUAUGCUUCUGAAGCAGGUCACCGUCCUCUGAAACAGGUCUCUGGGCACAGAGGGUUCCCAGACUGUUCUGUGAUGUCUGUAAUUCAUGAAAUGAAGUAAAACAUGUCACACCCUUUCUAAGAAUCACUAUCAAAUUAUUUCAGUGACUGAAGAGGAAGAUUACAGAAUCACACAAAAUCACAGAAUUGGAGCGGUUGGAACGGACCUCAAGAUAUCAUCAAGUCCAUUUCAUCUGCUAAAGCCGGUUCCCAUUCCUGCUUCUUUUUUCUAACUCUCAUUCUGUCCCUAACAUUUCCUUUCAGAGAUCUCAUUUAUUCCCUGGACAACCUAACCUGCAUUUUCAUAAGUAAAGUAGCAUUAUUUUAUUGAUGCUACUUACGUAUAUUCCUAUUCUGGGCCAUCUCUUGAGAGAUUCACAGAGCCAGUCUAAGUAGGGACGCAUCCUAAUAGUUGAGUAAAUUUCUGGUUUUGUUUGUGAAGGACUUCUCUCCAACAUGAUUUAAAUCUGGAAGAAAGAAAUGUUAAACAAACCUAUGUUGCAUUUCCUGUCCAGUUACAAAGAGAAAGCAAACCCUGUGCAUCCUGGAACACAGGUAUGAGCUGUUAAAACUAUUCUCUUAAAUGCAACGCCUGUUUGCACUUUGAAACUGUGAGUUAUCAGUAGUUCUGUUGCUUUGAACAAGAGAGCCAGUGUGCUACACCUGCACUGCCACUGUAUACAGAAAGACUGUCACAAUCAGGCAAAUGAAUACUGAUUUCUUUUCCAAGUAAAUUAUGAGAUCAUAAAGGACCAUCAGAAUGUUCAGGAAUAUCUUUUGACCCAGGCUUCCUAAAACAGCCUUCUCAGUCCAAGUUUGAUGAUGACACAGGGCUGAGUGGUGCAUUCGACACAAUAGAAAAGAGAGACAUCAUCCAGAGGGACCUGGACAUGCUCAAAAAUUGUGCACAUGAGAAUCUAACAAGGUUUAAUAAGGCCAAGUGCAAGGUGUUCCACUUGGGUUGAGGCAAUCCCAGAUGUUUCCUGCUUGACCAAACUAGUGACCUUUUAUGAUAGCGUCACUGCAUCAAUGGACAAGGGAAGAACCACUAAUAUCAUCUCUCUGGACUUCAGUAAGGCCUUUGACACAGUACCCCACAACAUCCUUCUCUCCAAAUUGGAAAGAUGUGGAUUUGAUGGGUGGAUUGCUCAGUGGAUGAAGAACUGGCUGUAGGUUUGAGACCAGAGAGUGGUGGUCAAUGGCUCAAUGUCUGGAUGGAGAUCAGUGAUGAGUGGUGUCCUUCAGGGGUCAGUGCUGGGAACGAUUCUCUUUAAUAUCUUCAUCAAUGACAUUGACUGUGGGGUCAAGUGCACCCUCAGCAAGUUUGCUGAUGAUUCUAUGUAGGAUGCAGUUGAUACACCUGAGGGACAGGAUGCCAUUCAGAGGGACCUAACGGGCUUGAACCGUGGGCCCAGAUGAACAUCAUGAGGUUCAACAAAUCCAAAUGCAAGGUCUUGCACCUAGGUGGAGGCAACAUCCACUACCAGUACAAGCUGAGGGAUGAAAGGAUUGAGCACAAUCCUGCUGAAAAAGACCACAGGGUACUGGUGGAUGGGAAGUUGGACAUAAGCCAGCAAUGUACCCUUACAGCCCAGUAAGCCAGCAAUAUCUGGGCUGCAUCAAAAGAAGUGUGGCCCACAGGUUGAGGGAGGUGAUCCCACCCCCUACUCUGCUCUGGUGAAGCCUCACCUGGAGUACUGCAUCCAGAUGUGAAAUCCUCACUACAGAAGAAAGACAGACCUGCUGGAGCACGUUCAGAGGAGGGCCACACAAAUGAUCCAAUGGAUGGGACACCUCUCCUACGAGGACAGGCUGAGAGAGCUGGGGCUGUUCAGCCUGGACAAGAGAAGGUUCCGAGGUGACCUGGCAACAAGCUAAAUUAACUAAACAAAUUUGUGGCCCACACAGAAAGGUCCGUUACCUCCACUCCUUACCUUUUAUUGUAUGUUUGUAUGUUUCUGCCAGUAAAGCACUGGGAAAAAAAAAAGAAAAAAAAAAAAAAAAAGAAGGUGGUUGUAAUCAGAUCAUUGGCUAAAACAACUGAUCAAUAACAACUGCAUAUGCUGCAAAGAGCCUUUAAUGGCUCUUAAUCCCCAUUAGGCUGAGCUGGAGGAAGUUGGAGGGGAAACUGCAUCACAUUUCAACCAUUUAUAGCAGCAUACUGGUACUUGAGCAGCUUUCAGGGAAUGGGAGCACUUGUUUUGAGGUGCUCUGGGACAACCAUCAGUAGGAUAGGAAACUAUUGCAUCAUUAUCAUCCAGGAAAUGCUUUGGGGACCCUCCAGAGAAUUGAUUCCAAGGCUUAUAAUUUUUUAACAACAGUCUAUGUUGGGUCAACCAGCAGAACAGAAGCAUAAGAAGCUUUCUGCCACUGGCAACUAAACAUGUUUUGGGACAUAUUUAACUCAGUUUAUGAAAUCAAAAAGGUCCAGUUUUAAUCAUGUAUGCCACUGUACUACCUCUAGGAGCAUCUCCUUCCAAAAACGAUGCAUCUUCCUGACGUGUUUCAGUGAGGUCAUGUGAUGACAAAAGUUUCUAUAUGUACUUGCUUUGUUUCUGCAAUAAACUGAAUAAAAUAUGUACACCAAUGUUACUGGUCGCUUGAGAAUGUGUUCUUUUAUCUCACAUGUAACUCCUCUGCUUUGAAAUGACUCUACAUGUACAUCUCUUCAGCCUGUAUAUUUUGUAUAGCAAAGACAAAAGACCAAAAUUCAAAAUAAGAACCUAUAUAAAAUAUGUAGCACCCAAUCCAUAGAUACUACAUGUUAUCACAGGGUUCAAUACAAAAUCUUAGUGAAUUCAAUAUUAAGUUUGCCUAAGUUUAUCUUAUUCUUGCACUGUACUGACAUUCAAUAAAUCUUAUUUCACUGAUUGGAUCUAGAGCUUAACUAAUGUCUGUCUCUCUUUAACAAGGGAAUUGCACCAGCAAGUGGACUACAGGAAUAUCUGUGGGUCUUUUGAUGGAUUGAGGAAGUCUAGUGUUAAAUGACUUAGUUUGUAGAAUUUUGUGGGAACUUCAAAAGGAAAGUAGGAG
ensembl:lncRNA